rnacentral:rRNA from 1 species
GACGAACGCUGGCGGCGUGCCUAAUACAUGCAAGUCGAGCGAGUCUGCCCUGAAGAUCGGAGUGCUUGCACUCUGUGAAACAAGAUACAGGCUAGCGGCGGACGGGUGAGUAACACGUGGGUAACCUGCCCAAGAGAUCGGGAUAACACCUGGAAACAGAUGCUAAUACCGGAUAACAACAGAUGAUGCCUAUCAACUGUUUAAAAGAUGGUUCUGCUAUCACUCUUGGAUGGACCUGCGUGGCAUUAGCUAGUUGGUAGGGUAACGGCCUACCAAGGCGAUGAUGCAUAGCCGAGUUGAGAGACUGAUCGGCCACAUUGGGACUGAGACACGGCCCAAACUCCUACGGGAGGCAGCAGUAGGGAAUCUUCCACAAUGGACGCAAGCUUGAUGGAGCAACGCCGCGUGAGUGAAGAAGGGUUUCGGAUCGUAAAGCUCUGUUGUUGGUGAAGAAGGACAGGGGAAGUAACUGACCUUUGUUUGACGGUAAUCAAUUAGAAAGUCACGGCUAACUACGUG